AAAGAAAUAAUAUAAGAAAAGCUUCUAACUUUUCAAUUAGCAAUUAGUUAAU
rnacentral:tRNA from 1 species